rnacentral:rRNA from 1 species
UGGGGAAUUUUGCACAAUGGGCGCAAGCCUGAUGCAGCAACGCCGCGUGAGUGAAGAAGGCCUUCGGGUCGUAAAGCUCUUUCGGCCGGGAAGAAGGGUGUCUUAGUUAAUAGCUAAGGCAUUUGACUGUACCGGAAGAAGAAGCACCGGCUAACUACGUGCCAGCAGCCGCGGUAAUACGUAGGGUGCAAGCGUUGUUCGGAAUUACUGGGCGUAAAGGGCGCGUAGGCGGGUUUGAAAGUCGAUUGUGAAAGCCCCAGGCUCAACCUGGGAAUUGCAGUCGAAACUUCAAGUCUUGAAUGCUUGAGAGGGUGGUGGAAUUCCAGGUGUAGAAGUGAAAUUCGUAGAUAUCUGGAGGAACACCGGAGGCGAAGGCGGCCACCUGGCAAGACAUUGACGCUAAAGCGCGAAAGCGUGGGGAUCAAACAGG